rnacentral:rRNA from 1 species
GGGUCAGUAGGCUGGUCGUGCCACAGGUACGCACUGGUCUCACUGAUUCCUCCUUCCUGAUGAACCGUAAUGCCAUUAAUUUGGUGUUGCGGGGAGACUGGACUGUUACUUUGAAAAAAUUAGAGUGUUCAAAGCAGGCGUAACUUGCAUUCGAAUAUAUUAGCAUGGGAUAAUAGAAUA